GACGAACGCUGGCGGCGUGCUUAACACAUGCAAGUCGAACGGAAAGGCCCUGCUUUCAGGGUACUCGCGUGGCGAACGGGUGAGUAACACGUGGGUGAAUUGCCUUGCACUUCGGGUUAAGCCUGGGAAACUGGGUCUAAUACCGGAUAGGAGCCAUUUUUAGUCUGAUGGUUGGAUAGUUUUUUCGGUUUAGGAUGAGCUCGCUGCCUAUCAGCUUGUUGGUGUGGUAAUGGCCUACCAAGGCGGCUACGGGUAGCCGGCCUGAGAGGGUGGACGGCGACAGUGGGACUGAGGUGCGGCCCAGACUGCUACGGGAGGCAGAAGGGGGGAAUAUUGAACAAGCGGCGCAAGGCUGAUGCAGAGACGCUGCGUGGGGGAUGACGGCCUUCGGGUGGUAAACUCAUUUCGCUAGGGACGAAGCUUUUUGUGACGGUACCUAGAGAAGAAGCACCGGCUAACUACGUG
rnacentral:rRNA from 1 species